rnacentral:rRNA from 1 species
CCCUUAGAUGUCCUGGGCCGCACGCGCGUUACACUGAUGCAUUCAACGAGCUUAUAACCUUGGCCGAGAGGCCUGGGCAAUCUUGUUAACGUGCAUCGUGAUAGGGAUAGAUUAUUGAAAUUAUUAAUCUUGAACGAGGAAUUCCUAGUAAACGCAGAUCAUCAAUCUGCAUUGAUUACGGCCCUGCCCUUUGUACACACCGCCCGUCGCACCUACCGAUUGGAUGGUCCGGUGAAGCCUCGGGAUUGUGGUUCUUGCCGCUUUAUUGUAGCGUGACCGCGAGAACUUGUCUAAACCUUAUCACCUAGAGGAAGGUGAAGUCGUAACA